rnacentral:rRNA from 1 species
UGGGGAAUCUUGGACAAUGGGGGCAACCCUGAUCCAGCCAUGCCGCGUGAGUGAUGAAGGCCUUAGGGUCGUAAAGCUCUUUCGCCUGUGAAGAUAAUGACGGUAGCAGGUAAAGAAGCCCCGGCUAACUUCGUGCCAGCAGCCGCGGUAAUACGGAGGGGGCUAGCGUUGUUCGGAAUUACUGGGCGUAAAGGGCGUGUAGGCGGCCAAUUAAGUCAGAGGUGAAAUCCCCGAGCUCAACUUGGGAACUGCCUUUGAUACUGAUUGGCUAGAGUUCGGGAGAGGGUAGUGGAAUUCCAAGUGUAGAGGUGAAAUUCGUAGAUAUUUGGAGGAACACCAGUGGCGAAGGCGGCUCACUGGCUCGAUACUGACGCUGAGGUGCGAAAGUGUGGGGAGCAAACAGGAUUAGAUACCCUGGUAGUCCACACCGUAAACGAUGAAUGCCAGUCGUCGGGUAGCAUGCUAUUCGGUGACACACCUAACGGAUUAAGCAUUCCGCCUGGGGAGUACGGUCGCAGAUUAAAACUCAAAUGAAUUGA